AAAAAUUCAAAUAAUAAAAGUCAAGCCACACCCAAAAUGAAGAAAUGGGAAGAAAAUUAGGAUUUAAGCCUAUUUUUAAAACAAGCCAAGACCCGGCCGCUUCACUGGUUCGGCCGUCCGACCACCGGGUCGGCCGGUUCUCUAAAAAACACGGUUUUUGGCUUCCACCGGCUUUUGUCUUUCACCCAUCCAUUUUAUAGCCCGGUAAACGGUUCGGGCGGUUCGACCAGGCGGUCUAGUUGGGCUUUAAAACACUUCUUAUUCUAUAAAAGCGAAAGUAAGAACUCAUAUUGUAUGAUUUACUUCCGCGAUUACUUUUGUUGUGUUCUGACUACCUCUUGAUUAUCUAUCACUCUUAUGAUGUUUUCCCCCAGCUUUUAUCCUAUACUCUCUGUAAAGCACCCUGUUGUUCUCACUUGUGCUUGUGUUAAUUUUUUGGCAAGUGAAAAAUUGUUUCCUUGCUGAUAAACUUUCGACCCCAGAUGAAUGGUAUGAAAUCACCAAGUUUUUACAAAAAUCGCUUAGGUUGCAUUUGGACGGAAGGAUUUUUGAGGGAAAAAUUUGAAAUAAGAAUUCAAUGCCUCCAUAUUAAAUGGAUUUGAUAUUUAUUACAAUGCCACAACAUAUAGUUCAAAAUGAAAGUUCCAAGGAUUUCAAAUCUUUUGUGGCAUGAAUUUAUCCAAGCAAGUUUGAUGGAUUUGUUAUUAAGGAUUUUUAAAAUUCUUAGAUCCAAAAUCCGUUGAUCCAAACACAAUCACAAUAAUAGAUACUCUAAAACCUGGAGAGCAAGUUCAAAGUAGUAUGUAUUGCAAUGGUACUAGUUAUCUUUGACCAUUUGGUCUCUGGCUAUUACUAUUAAGGCACACCUCCUCCAAUAUGCCAUCUAAUAUCCUUUUCUUUUUCUUUCCUUUAUUUGCCUUUCUGUUUGCAGUUCUCUUAUGUUAUAUCCCUCUUUCUAAUCCUUUUGUGUUAAAUUUAUAACAGUGAUGAUUUGACAGAGAAUUGAUUGCAAUUUAAGAACCUGUUGAGGAGGUUGAUAAGAAUCUUUUAAUAUUUUAUUGAGGCAUGUUCUAAGAGAAUUGAGGGUGAUGAUUCUGGGCACAAGCACUGUACCGGACAAUACUUUGACUAUUGGCGCUGUGUUGACAAAUGUGUUGCCACUAAGCUAUUCACUCAUCUUAAAUAACAGAACAGGACGUGGUUUGUAUAAUAGAGCCUGAUUAUGCUCUUUUCUUUUUAAAAGACGUAGGAAUUUGAUUUUGUUAUUGCUACAAGCUACUGAUGCUUUUUGCGCCCAACUCCUUAGCUCCAUGGAAUUUUGAGGCAAGGAGGCUUCUUGGAUCAAUAAAAUGAGAAUUGUGGAAUUGAAUCUUUUUUCACGAUGAUUGAAUUUCCUCCGUGUUUGGUGCCGGCUGCGGUAUUUUAUG